rnacentral:piRNA from 1 species
CACCAAAGUGCAGAAGAAGGAUG